rnacentral:rRNA from 1 species
CUCGCCUACAUGAAGCUGGAAUCGCUAGUAAUCGCAGGUCAGCCAAACUGCGGUGAAUACGUUCCCGGGCCUUGUACACACCGCCCGUCACGCCACCCGAGUUGGGAACACCUGAAGGCAGUACGGCAGGUACUGUUGAAGGUGGGCUUGGCGAGGGGGGCGAAGUCGUAACAAGGUAGGUGUACCGGAAGGUGCGCCUGGAUCACCUCCUUUCUAAGGAGAAU